rnacentral:tRNA from 1 species
CGGAUGUAGCCAAGUGGAUCAAGGCAGUGGAUUGNGAAUCCACCAUGCGCG